GACAGAGGGGCCAAGCGUUAGGCGGAAUCACUGGGCUUAAAGCGUGUGUAGGCGGGUGCCUAAGUACCUUGUGAAAUCCCCCGGCUCAACCGGGGAACUGCUGGGUAUACUGGGUGCCUUGGGUCAUCUAGGGGCUGCCGGAACAAAUGGUGGAGCGGUGAAAUGCGUAGAUAUCAUUUGGAACGCCAACGGCGAAAGCAGGCAGCUGGGGAUGCACCGACGCUGAGACACGAAAGCCAGGGGAGCGAACGGG
rnacentral:rRNA from 1 species